UACGUAGGUGGCAAGCGAUACUCGGAAUCACUAGGCGUAAAGCGCAGGUAGGCGGCUUGAUAAGUCUUUUGUGAAAGCUCCUGGCUUAACUGGGAGAGGUCAAAGGAAACUGUCAGGCUAGAGUUUGGUAGGGGAUACUGGAAUUCCUGGUGUAGCGGUGAAAUGCGUAGAUAUCAGGAGGAAUACCUAUGGCGAAAGCAGGUAUCUGGGCCACAACUGACGCUGAGCUGCGAAAGCUAGGGGAGCAACAGG
rnacentral:rRNA from 1 species